rnacentral:rRNA from 1 species
GCCAACGUCCAUACCACGUUGAACACACCGGUUCUCGUCCGAUCACCGAAGUUAAAAAACGUCGGGCGCGGUCAGUACUUGGAUGGGUGACCGCCUGGGAACACCGCGUGAUGUUGGCU